GCGGGUUCCGGGGCGGCAGCAGCGAAAUCGCGGUCUUGAAUGCUGAAAAGAGCUGCAACGGUCUCAGGAGAAUUUUCGCGGAUGGGGCUUGUGAAUGAAGCCAUGGUCAGUUCCGGAGCGUUAUCGUUGAUAUCUACCACCUGUAUUAUGACAGUGCAUUUUCCAGAAAGACCUGCCCCAUCAGAGGCUUUAAUAUCCACCUGAUAUGACACAAUUUUUUCAAAAUCUAGUUUUCUGAUUAUUUUAAUUUCUCCCCUUCGUUCAUUAAGUGCAAAUGUCUUAGAAAUCUCUUCAUCACCA
rnacentral:lncRNA from 1 species